UAAGUUCCCUGGAACGGGAUAUCAUGGAGGGUGAGAAUCCCGUACAUGGUUCAUUGUCUCUUGCAUCAUGAAGCUCCUUCAACGAGUCGAGUUGUUUGGGAAUGCAGCUCAAAACAGGAGGUAAAUUCCUUCCAAAGCUAAAUAUUAGCCAGAGACCGAUAGCGAACAAGUAGAGUGAUCGAAAGAUGAAAAGCACUUUGGAAAGAGAGUUAAAAAGUAUGUGAAAUUGUUGAAAGGGAAGCGCUUGCAACCAGACUUUUCACUGUAGGUUAGAUCAUCUAGGCUCUUUGCCCUAGUGUACUCUACCUCUAUUGUGUGCCAGCAUCGGUUUGUUAGUCGAGAGAAAAAGGUAGUGUGUUGUCGAUUCCUCCGGGUAUUUGGCAUGCAUCUACAGGUACAUCUUGAACCCAGACCGAGGACAGCGCUUUUUGCAUGGAUGCUGGUGUAAUGGUUGUAAGCGGCCCGUCUUGAAACACGGACCAAGGAGUCCAACAUCCAUGCGAGUGUUUGGAUAUCAAGUCCGUACGCGCAAUGAAAGUGAAUGCAAGUGGGAACUCAUUUAUGUGUGCACCAUUGACCGAUCUUGAUCUUUUGAAAUGGAUUUGAGUAAGAGCAUGGCUGUUGGGACCCGAAAGAUGGUGAACUAUCCCGCGUAGGC
rnacentral:rRNA from 1 species